CGGGGUCGUGGUGGCUUUCAUGCAGUCGAGCGGUAAGGCCCUUCGGGGUACACGAGCGGCGAACGGGUGAGUAACACGUGAGCAACCUGCCCCUGACUCUGGGAUAAGCGGUGGAAACGCCGUCUAAUACCGGAUACGACCCACCACCUCAUGGUGGAGGGUGGAAAGUUUUAUCGGUCAGGGAUGGGCUCGCGGCCUAUCAGCUUGUUGGUGGGGUAACGGCCUACCAAGGCGAUUACGGGUAGCCGGCCUGAGAGGGCGACCGGCCACACUGGGACUGAGACACGGCCCAGACUCCUGCGGGAGGCAGCAGUGGGGAAUAUUGCACAAUGGGCGAAAGCCUGAUGCAGCGACGCCGCGUGGGGGAUGACGGCCUUCGGGUUGUAAACCUCUUUUACCACCAACGCAGGCUCCACGUUCUCGUGGGGUUGACGGUAGGUGGGGAAUAAGGACCGGCUAACUACGUGCCAGCAGCCGCGGUAAUACGUAGGGUCCGAGCGUUGUCCGGAAUUAUUGGGCGUAAAGAGCUCGUAGGCGGCAUGUCGCGUCUGCUGUGAAAGACCGGGGCUUAACUCCGGUUCUGCAGUGGAUACGGGCAUGCUAGAGGUAGGUAGGGGAGACUGGAAUUCCUGGUGUAGCGGUGAAAUGCGCAGAUAUCAGGAGGAACACCGGUGGCGAAGGCGGGUCUCUGGGCCUUACCUGACGCUGAGGAGCGAAAGCAUGGGGAGCGAACAGGAUUAGAUACCCUGGUAGUCCAUGCCGUAAACGUUGGGCGCUAGGUGUGGGGACUUUCCACGGUU
rnacentral:rRNA from 1 species